UGAGUUGAGUAGAUGGUCGCGUCUCGAACAUAAUUUUAUGAUCGGGAUGAGGAAAGUCCGGACUCCGCAGGGCAGGAUGCUGGGUAACCCCCAGGAGCGGCGACGCUAUGGAAAGUGCAACAGAAAGUAGACUACAAUACCCGAGGGUGUUGUACAGGUGAAACGGUGCGGUAAAAGCGCACCAGUCCAUAAGGUGACUUAUGGAGCUUGGUAAACCCCAUCUGGAGCAAGGUAAAUGCGGGAUACGUAAAGAUUGCCCGUCUCGUCCCCAGGUAACCGCUUGAGGUGGAUGGUAACAUCCAUCCCAGAUGAAUGAUCAUCACAUACAGAAUCCGGCUUAUUCUCAACUCAAGUU
rnacentral:RNase_P_RNA from 1 species